rnacentral:rRNA from 1 species
GAUGAACGCUGGCGGCGUGCCUAAUACAUGCAAGUCGAGCGAAUGGAUUAAGAGCUUGCUCUUAUGAAGUUAGCGGCGGACGGGUGAGUAACACGUGGGUAACCUGCCCAUAAGACUGGGAUAACUCCGGGAAACCGGGGCUAAUACCGGAUAACAUUUUGAACCGCAUGGUUCGAAAUUGAAAGGCGGCUUCGGCUGUCACUUAUGGACGGACCCGCGUCGCAUUAGCUAGUUGGUCAGGUAACGGCUCACCAAGGCAACGAUGCGUAGCCGACCUGGGAGGGUGAUCGGCCACACUGGGACUGAGACACGGCCCAGACUCCUACGGGAGGCAGCAGUAGGGAAUCUUCCGCAAUGGACGAAAGUCUGACGGAGCAACGCCGCGUGAGUGAUGAAGGCUUUCGGGUCGUAAAACUCUGUUGUUAGGGAAGAACAAGUGCUAGUUGAAUAAGCUGGCACCUUGACGGUACCUAACCAGAAAGCCACGGCUAACUACGUGCCAGCCGCCGCCGUAA